UUAUAGCCAAAGUCCAUAUGAGUCUUUGGCUUUGUGUCUUCUAACAAGGAUACAAUUCUUACGCCUUUAAGAUCCGGUUACGGUGUAAGUUCUUACACUCAAUCAUACACAUGACAUCAAGUCAUAUUCGACUCCAAAACACUAACCAACCUUCUUCUUGCUUCUCAAAGGUUUCAUGGUGUAGCCAACGUUCAUAUGAGUCUUUGGCUUUGUCUCUUCUAACAAGGAAACACAACUUAGGCUUUUAAGAUCGGGUUUCGGUUUAAGUUGUUAUACUCAAUCAUACACAUGACAUCAAGUCAUAUUCGACUCCAAAAUACUAACCAACCUUCUUCUUGCUUCUCAAAGCAUUCAUUGAGUAGCCAAAGUCCAUAUGAGUCCUUUGUUUUGUGUUUUCUAACAAGGAUACAAUUCUUACGCCUUUAAGAUCCAGUUGCGGUUUAAAUUCUUAUACUCAAUCAUACACAUGACAUCAAGUCAUAUUUGACUCCAAAACACAAACCAACCUUCUUCAGCUUCUCAAAUCUUUCAUGGUAUGGCCAAAGUCCGUAUGAAUCUUCGGCUUUGUGUCUUCUAACAAGGAAACGCUACUUAGGCUUUUAAGAUCGGGUUGCGGUUUAAGUUCUUAUACUCAAUCAUACACAUGACAUCAAGUCAUAUUCAACUCCAAAACACUAACCAAGCUUCUUCUAGAUUCUCAAAGCUUUCAUGGUGUAGCCAAAAUCCGUAUGAGUCUUUGGCUUUGUGUCUUCUAACAAGGAUACAAUUCUUACGCCUUUAAGAUCCGGUUGCGGUUUAAGUUCUUAUACUCAAUCAUACACAUGACAUCAAGUCAUAUUCGACUCCAAAACACUAACCAACCUUCUUCUUGCUUCUCAAAGCUU
rnacentral:sRNA from 1 species